rnacentral:rRNA from 1 species
GAUGAACGCUGGCGGCGUGCCUAAUACAUGCAAGUCGAGCGAACAGAUGAGGAGCUUGCUCCUCUGACGUUAGCGGCGGACGGGUGAGUAACACGUGGAUAACCUACCUAUAAGACUGGGAUAACUUCGGGAAACCGGAGCUAAUACCGGAUAAUAUAUUGAACCGCAUGGUUCAAUUGUGAAAGACGGUUUUGCUGUCACUUAUAGAUGGAUCCGCGCCGCAUUAGCUAGUUGGUAAGGUAACGGCUUACCAAGGCAACGAUGCGUAGCCGACCUGAGAGGGUGAUCGGCCACACUGGAACUGAGACACGGUCCAGACUCCUACGGGAGGCAGCAGUAGGGAAUCUUCCGCAAUGGGCGAAAGCCUGACGGAGCAACGCCGCGUGAGUGAUGAAGGUCUUCGGAUCGUAAAACUCUGUUAUUAGGGAAGAACAAAUGUGUAAGUAACUAUGCACGUCUUGACGGUACCUAAUCAGAAAGCCACGGCUAGCUACGUG